GGCCGCAGGUAACAAGUGCAGGACCCACAGGUCCGGAGUGUGCCCGGUUGGCAGCUCCCGGUCUUCGAAAGACCUGGCUCUAGUCCCUUCUGUCCUCAGUGAAGCCAAAGGUGUCCAAGGGCAGCCAGCCUCGGAGUUCAGAGCCUCUCUGGCCCUCACCUGGCGCUUGAGGGAGAUGAGCUGCGAGUCAAGGCCUCGAAGCGUGAGGUUGGCAAGGUCGGGGCUCCCUGACACAGCAGUGAGGCCCUCAGGGCUCAGUCCACUCAUCAGGAAACGGGGUGAAGUUGGCCAAGUCAGCCAGUGACUUCUCCACGUCAUGCUUGUGCCACAAGAGCAUGCCCAGUGCCUGGCCCGGGACAAGGAACAACUCAGGCUCAGCUGAGCCCAGCAGCAUCCCGUCCCCACCCCAAAUCCCUGUGGGGCCGAGGCUCACCUGCUCAAUGUUGUAGCCAUGCUUCUCCUUGGCCAUCGCGAUGUACUUGUCAACUGCGGGGGGGAGGA